UUUUGUUGGAGAGUUUGAUCCUGGCUCAGGACGAACGCUGGCGGCGUGCUUAACACAUGCAAGUCGAGCGGAAAGGCCCUUCGGGGUACUCGAGCGGCGAACGGGUGAGUAACACGUGAGCAACCUGCCCCAAGCUUUGGGAUAACCCUC
rnacentral:rRNA from 1 species